rnacentral:rRNA from 1 species
AUUGAACGCUGGCGGCAUGCCUUACACAUGCAAGUCGAACGGCAGCGCGGGGCAACCUGGCGGCGAGUGGCGAACGGGUGAGUAAUAUAUCGGAACAUACCCUAGAGUGGGGAUAACGUAGCGAAAGUUACGCUAAUACCGCAUACGCACUAAGGUGGAAAGUGGGGGAUUCGCAAGAACCUCAUGCUCAUGGAGUGGCCGAUAUCUGAUUAGCUAGUUGGUGAGGUAAAGGCUCACCAAGGCAACGAUCAGUAGCUGGUUUGAGAGAACGACCAGCCACACUGGAACUGAGACACGGUCCAGACUCCUACGGGAGGCAGCAGUGGGGAAUUUUGGGACAAUGGGGGCAACCCUGAUCCAGCAAUGCCGCGUGAGUGAAGAAGGCCU